UCUGUCAUUGCUCUGCAUCCAUAUAUUUCUAUUGCUAUGAGUCGCACCAGAGUUUUUGCUGUGGAGGAUGUUACCAAGUGUAUCAAUUCCUUGCAACCGAAAGCUACAAGUUUUGUUAGGUUCCCAAAAGAUACCGAUGAUGAUGGCAAUAGAAUUAACAGACUUUGACAAUGAUAUACUUUUAGAAUUUCAAGAUACUGAAAAAUGGGGCCAAGUUUGGAGUCUUGCUUGCACAGCUGCUCCAGAUGAUAGUGCCAGCGCAGCUGUAAUUCUUUUAUCAUUGCCAACUUCCCCACAUGUUUCUCUAAGCAUCCUUCCAUCGAAAAUACCUCUUCGUGGGAUGAAAAAAACAACAGUGUGAGUAUUUCGAGAUUGUGAAAUCUCUCCAGUACGUUCCAGAUUGUAAAACCAGCUGAGUCAUCUGCAGCAAUCUCUAGUUCUCUAAGACUGCCAAAAAGGUGUUGUGGGAAAUCGGCCUGCAAAAUCAUCUUCACAUCUUUUCCACUUAGUGAUAGUUCCUUCAAGUUGGGUACGAUCUGAUCAUCAUCAAUCAUAAUAACUAAUGAGGUCAAUUGAUGAUCUACGGUCACACGCAGUGACUUUAUAGUAUUUGUUUUAUAUUAUAUUUUUAAAAAAAAUUGAAUUAUUGAUAAAAUUUAUUUUAUAUGUUAAUUUUAGAGGUAAAAAAGAAAUUAGGGAAAAAAGGUUGAUUUAUACUGGCUUGAAAUUAUUUUAUUGCACAAUAAUAAAUUACUAAUUUAUUUUGUAAGUUCUUCUAUAUGGAAAGACUAAGGAUUCUUUUAUAAAUGCUAUACCUUAAAAAGUUCAUAUAAUUAUUAAUCUACCACAUUGAUCUCUUAAUCUAGACUAGCAAAGAUUAUUGUAUAAUAAAAGUUUUCAAUUUAUUGAGUGUUAAUUUAUCGAUGCUUUGUCAUUUUUUUCGAAGUUAAAAAUACGCUAUUGAUAAAAAAUCUAGAAAAUGGCUUCGUACCUUUUCCAACGGCAAUAGGGGCUGUUGUGCAGGAAUACCAAGUUGAUCAUUCUCAUUAUUCUGCGAUAAAUCUGCAUCGAAUAUCUUUAAUUUGUCACAACGACCCACUAAAAGAAUUUCUAGUGCGGGCCAUUCCGAAGUAUGCAUUCCAGGGUACAAACAUCUAAGUUUUGGUAGACAUUCGAGUCUUAGAGUCUCAGAGUGGUGAGCUGUGGAAAGACAAAAUAAGGGAUAACUUCAUCUGCUCUGUUUUCAGAAAUGAUCUCCUCUAAAUCCUCACAGAAGCGUAUAUCUAGGUGUUGGAGCUGCUUAAGGCUUUCGAUCAUAGACGCUGAAAAUAUGUAUUUUAAUUUGUGACAACGCCACGCGAUCAAUCGUGUUAAAUUUUGAAAGCGAGGAAACACGGCCGCCGGAAUUUGAUUGUAGUGCCAAAUCUUGUCGACAUUAAUAUCAGAUAUCUCCAAAGCCUCCAAGUUAGGCAACGCAACCUAAAAGAAUAAGAAUUUCUGGUUAGAUCCAAUAUCCAUAUGGGAAGCACUUGUUGAAAUUUUCUUCUUUGAUUACAAAUUAAUGCAAGUCUGAAUCAAUUUCCAACUGACAGCUGAGUAUGCAUUCUAAUUCAUACUACUUGUUAAGAGCUCAAUUAGUGAGCGCGUGAGAUUCUUUUUAUCCUUUUUUCCAUUUUCUUUCAAUUCUUUAAAUGAUUUAAUUAUUUUCCACGUAUGACAUCAAAACAGAACGCAUGAUAGAAUAAAGAAAAUGUUAGCCUACGCACCUUCUCGUUGAAAAGCAGAGUUGAAGUAUCCAAAGUGAUUUCGCUGGAGCUAUACGUAGUCGUCGAUUCCUCCUGCGACGCUGGUCUGUUUGGUGAUGCUGAAGGAGUCUUCACGUCACGGCAAAAACUUGUAAACUCUGGAAGAUUCCCCAGACUCAAAGAUCUUAAUUGAGCAAACUCUAUCUUCUCAAUUGCAUUAUCAACUUCUUCCCCAAUUGCAAAAAUCUCUUUCAUCUUGCUGCAAUUAAUAACUGCAAUUCUCUCAAGUCUUGGAAGGCAUUUUGUUGUAGAGAGCCAAAAGAUAUUACUCAAUUUAUCACAAUUAUAUGCUUGUAUGAUUUUGAGUUCGUUGAAGGACUCUACUUUGAGCCGAUCAAUACAUAUCCUCUCCAUGUUGAUCAAAUUGUGAAGGCCAAGUGACUCCAAAAGAGGAAAGGCAUCACAAGCGACCAUCGCCCUUGAAUCGACGAUACAAAAGAUGUCAGGAUUAUUUUGAACCCAGAGAAGCUUCAAUUGUGAAAAGCCCUCUGUGUCCAAAUUGAAAAGAACAUUCUCGAUGCCUUGCAGCUUGUCCAACCAUAAGCAUUCUACGUUAUUGAUGCCCUGCAAUUUCAUGGAGCAAAUGUCCAUAAAAGCAAGCUUGAGCUUCAAUGCUCUUAAACUCUUGCGAUCACUUUUGCGAGAAAAGCGCCGCAGACUUUGGAACCAAUUUUGUUCAGCAAUCAUGGGAUGUGUGCUAUACCUUAAAAAGUUCAUAUAAUUAUUAAUCUACCACAUUGAUCUCUUAAUCUAGACUAGCAAAGAUUAUUGUAUAAUAAAAGUUUUCAAUUUAUUGAGUGUUAAUUUAUCGAUGCUUUGUCAUUUUUUUCGAAGUUAAAAAUACGCUAUUGAUAAAAAAUCUAGAAAAUGGCUUCGUACCUUUUCCAACGGCAAUAGGGGCUGUUGUGCAGGAAUACCAAGUUGAUCAUUCUCAUUAUUCUGCGAUAAAUCUGCAUCGAAUAUCUUUAAUUUGUCACAACGACCCACUAAAAGAAUUUCUAGUGCGGGCCAUUCCGAAGUAUGCAUUCCAGGGUACAAACAUCUAAGUUUUGGUAGACAUUCGAGUCUUAGAGUGGUGAGCUGUGGAAAGACAAAAUAAGGGAUAACUUCAUCUGCUCUGUUUUCAGAAAUGAUCUCCUCUAAAUCCUCACAGAAGCGUAUAUCUAGGUGUCGGAGCUGCUUAAGGCUUCCGAUCAUAGACGCUGAAAAUAUGUAUUUUAAUUUGUGACAACCCCACACAAUCAAUCGUGUUAAACUUUGAAAGUGAGGAAGCACGGCCGCUGGAAUUUGAUUGUAGUGCCAAAUCUUGUCGACAUUAAUUGCAGAUAUCUCCAAAGCCUCCAAGUUAGGCAACGCAACCUAAAAAAAGAAGAAUUUCUCGUUAGAUCCAAUAUCCAUAUGGGAAGCACUUGUUGAAAUUUUCUUCUUUGAUUACAAAUUAAUGCAAGUCUGAAUCAAUUUCCAACUGACAGCUGAGUAUGCAUUCUAAUUCAUACUACCUGUUAAGAGCUCAAUUAGUGAGUGCGUGAGAUUAUUUUUUUCCCCAUUGUUUUCAUUUUCUUUCAAUUCUCUAAAUGAUUUAAUUAUUUUCCACGUUUGACAUAAGAGAACGCAUGAUAGAAUAAACUCUGUUAUAUAUAUAUAUGAAUAAAAUGUUAGCCUACGCACCUUCUCAUUGAAAAGCAAAGUUGAAAUAUCCAAAGUGAUUUCGCUGGAGCAAUACAUAGUCGUCGAUUCCUCUUGCGACACUUGUCUGUUCGGUGAUGCUGAAGGAGUCUCCACCUCACGGCAAAAACUUGUAACCUCUGGAAGAUUCCCCAGACUCAAAGAUCUUAAUUGAGCAAACUCUAUCUUCUUAUUUUGAACCUUUCGAGCUUUCUGGCCAAAAAACCUUCUGGUAACAUACUGUCAUUUUUAACAUCAAUUUCUAGAGUGGUUAGCCGAGGUAAAUGCAUCAAUUCAUCAAGGCUAGCAUUACUUCUUUUGCUGUUGGCUCUUUCAACCUCCCAUUCAAUGGAGCAAUUACCCAUAUACAGCUCUUCUAAUCGGAUUAAGCUUGAUAUGACAUUUGGGGCAAUAACUUUCAGACGGAAACAAUUGGUUAAAUCUAACAAUCUCAACUUAUUCAAUUGACCUAGUUCUUCUGGCAACUGCGUUAUAUCAGACUUCAAAAAGCUAAGGACUUCUAGAUUCUUCAACUUCCCAAUGAUUGCUAUGUCGCCCAACGCACUUUUAUCCAGACAUAGUGUGUGAAGAUUUACUAGAAGAUCAAUUGAAGAUGGAAAAGAAGAAAACUGCAUUCGAGUAAAAUCUAGAAUUCUAAGCUUUUUCAUCCCUACAAAAAAGUUCUCAGGAAUAUUGAUUUCAAGAGAAAAAUCUUUGAGAGAGAUAUAUAAAAAUUCAAGGUUUGGGCAUUCUAAUCCUUCAGGAAAUUCACGAUUACUAUUUUUUAUUAAAGAGAUAGCUUUGCAAUUUCGAAGUGCAUCCUUAUCUGGCCAGUCCCACACAUCCUCAUUCCUCACCGAAAACACAUGUUGCUGGCGGCAUGCAAUUGAUAUCGCGACAUCGCGAACAACAUCAUGCAUUGACAAUUGUUCAUUGCUCUCACCCUCAAGCAACAAACAAGAGUCUCUAAGUUCAUGGACCAAUGCAUAUAAUUUGUCUCGUGCAUCUUCCAUCUUAUUGACUCCUUUAAAUAUACCCAAACCCAUGGAGUACUUAAACAAGUCGAAAGUAAAAAUACGGUUACCCAUUAGACUGCAGAGCUGAAAAAUUUCCUUGCGUUCACCUUUUAAUUGGUUGAAACUCAGCUCAAUACUUGCAUAAGUCUCUGCAGAUACUCCUUCGAAGUUUACCAUUGAAGGCGUUCGGAGUUCUCGCAAGGAAUUCUUCCAUUCAUGCAGACUCUUGCCUCUCAAUGCCUUUGCUACCGUACUCAAGGCAAUGGGCAAACCUCCACAUGCCCUGGCGACGUCUAUUGCUGUAGAUUUCAACUCACGAUUUUCAACAUCAUCACCGGCCAUCAUCUUAAACAAUCUCCCGGCUUCUUCUUCUUUUAAGUUGUUUAUCAAAAAGUUGUCUUUGGAUCCCAUUUGUAAGAGGACACUACGAUCUCUUGCUGUCAGCAGUAGUUUGCAUCCUUUAUGAUCUUCUGCAAAAGGAAUUCCAACAGUCUCCAAAUUAAGGUGUUUCCAGAUGUUAUCUAAAACCACAAGGAUCUUCUUCUCAUUUCUCAAUCGCUCAAAUAGUCUACUUGCUCUUCCAGAUUCAACUUCCUCGCGCAACUCCAGGCCCAACUUCUCGGCAAUUUCCUGUUGAAUCUUUUUUAUGUCUGGAGUUUGCGAAACCUCUGAAAAGACCACCAUAUCAAAGAGCUUGGCUUCCAUAGCUUGCCUGGAGACCUCCUUCACCAGUGUCGUCUUUCCAAUGCCGCCCAUGCCGUACACCCCAAUGAUGCUAACAUCGAUCAAUGCUUUUUUUAUAGCCUCCAAAGUAGAACGUCUUGAUUCGAAGGCCUCGUAGCCUAUGUGAGACUUGAGCCAAAUCUCCUCCGGAAUGGUACGGUGGGAAACAAUAUCAAACUUCUUUACUUCUUCUCCAAGUUCAACAAGGGCCUUCAUUUCUGUCUCUGCUUUCUUGCUAAGCUGAUAGCGGGUCUUCAAAUUAGGACACAAGCCCUUGAGACAACGCUUAUUCGUUGACUCCUCAUUUUCAAUGAAUUUGGCUGCCCUGUCAAUGAUGUCGUUCGCACUAACCAGCCACUUUUCAACCUUCUCUUCAAUCUUUUCUCCUUUUCUUUCAGCCUCAGAAACUCUGUGCUGAAUGCUCCUACUUUCAUCCUUGAGUUCAUCAAAUUUUGCCCUGAGAUUCUCAAAGUUGGUUUUAUAGUUACGUAAAUAACCAAGUUGGCGUUCUGCUAGAGGAGCCAAGCAUUUCACAACUUCCAAAACAACAGUAAUAAUGGUUUCCACCAUCUUUGAUCCUUCUAUUUUUUUUUUUUUUUUGAGUUCUGAAAAGCAAAUAAACAAGAGCCAACCACAGAAGAGAAAAAAGAAGAAACAACAAAGAUGGACAGUUUAUCUGGUUGUGGAAGCGGAGAAAUGAAAGAAAGCGUAACAACUGAUUGAAUAAAUAUAAGGAGGGAUUUAGAUAAUAAAGGAGAAAGGAACCAAUCAAAAUAACUUAAGUAUAGACCAAAAGAAAGAUGAAAAAUAUAUUAUAGACCACAACCGAAUGAACAAAAGAAGAUGUCUUGACACAGCAGAAGUGCAGAGAGUAGAUAUGGAACAAAACAGAGACAACAGCAGGACACAACUAAAUUGGGAGCGGAGAGAAACUAAUCAACAAGGACUGAGAGAUUACAACAAAACAGAUGCCAAGAGAAAAGGGUUUCCUGAUCCUGUGAAGCUCAAGAGAGUUAACGGCAAUAGGGAGCAAACAUUAAUAACAAAACAACAGUGACUACAACGAACGAACGCAUAUGUUUUUCUUGAUUGAGAAUAAGUUCAAAGAAUGACUUUUUAAUGAGGUGCUGAAGCUGAAGAAUAACGAUUUGCUAAAAUUUUAAGAAUGCUAUAUAUUCUGUAAAUUCAACAAGUGAAGAAUAAAGAAUAAUGGUUUGUCAUCUUCACGAUGAAGAUCAUGGGCGAGAUUAAAAGCAAAAGUGAAGAAUAAAGAAUAAUGGUUUGUCAUCUUCAUGAUGAAGAUCAUGGGCGAGAUUAAAAGCAAAAGUGACCUAUUUGAAAAGCCAAAGUUCAAGUUCCUUUGCUAAGCUUAGAAGUGAAGCAAAGAAUAAAUAAAUAAAUGAGUAAUGAUCAAGGGAUCGGAAUGAAGUGUUAGAGUACAAUUUAUGCACUAGUUUUGCAUUAUUUACUUCUUUUAAUAUCGAUGUUUUGCACUUAAUAAUAGUGAUUUACUUGUGUUUUAUUUUGGUAGGUGCAAUUUUAUUGAUUGGUGCUAAAAUUGAGCUACAAGAUGAUGUUUGAGGAUGAUUGUUUUCUUGAAGAAAUUAUGAGCUUCAGAAGAACUUUGUUGAUAAGGUGUGGGCGCAUGCUGUCAACUACGGACCUGCAGUUUUUAGUUUAACGUGUUUUGUAUUUUUAGUUAUUUUUGUAAUUACGCAUUUAAUAUUUAGAUAAUAUUUUAGAAAUUAGUAUUUUAUUUUAAAAAGAACUCUAGAGGAGAAGAGAGAGAAGAGAAUUUAAGGGAGGAAUCUAUUGUCAAAGACGGGAGAUUUUUGAAGAGAAAGAAACCCUAGAUCUAAAUUUUUCUCUCCUGUCUAUGAAGAACUAAAUCUAUUAUUCUGGUUGAAGGUUAAUGAACUUUGAUUCAUCACUGCUGUGAGAUCUUUCUUAUACUUUAAUUAUUUUAUUACUUUUUGGGUAUUUGUUUAUUCUCUGAAUUAUUGUCAUGAUUAUGUUUGUUAAUUAGAUAAUUGGCUACUAUUUAAUUAUCAACUUAAUCUAUUGUCAAUUAAAAGAUUUAUCGUAUGAAGAUUUUAAUGUUUGUGACAAAUAGCAUAGCAGUGCAUUGUGUUAUGAGAAUAAACAAUCUAAUUUAAAUGAAUCAUCGUAUGCGUUUGUUGAUUAGGAUUUGGGUCUCUCUGAUUUUUCAGACUGUCAAUUGAUUAAAUCCUAUGAUCGUAUCUAGGGUUGUCUAUUGAUUAGGAAAAUAACCAACAAUCGUACCUUAAAACUAAUGUAGCAUGUGCAUGGAUCCCUGAAAAAAAUAGCGAAAGCGCUUGGUGGCCUGGCAAAGACUUGCAUCUCUUAACACCGUCAAGAACAUAAUGACAAAAAUUAUAUAUAUAUAUAAAGACUCAAGUCGUCCAUUUCCUUUUUCUUUUAAUGUUGUUAUUAUUAUUAUUAUUUAUUUUUUUCAAUUUCAUGAUAUCUUUUUUGUUUUAAACAGUAUUGGCAUAUUACAUUUAUUUAUGUUAAUUUUACAAUACCUCCCUUCAGAUUGCACAAAUUACAUUAAAAAAAAAAGUGCUUUAUGUAUAAAACUUUCAAACAAAUUGGGCCAAAAUCUAACUUUACCAAGUUUAAAGUAAUUUUGGGCUCGACAUUCCAUUUCCGACAAACGAAUUUUCUUUAUCACCGAGGUAUGAUACUUUUCAUAUUUAUCCAACGGCUCAUCAAUGACAAUACCUUUGUAAAAAGUACUUAUUUUCAAUAGUAUAUUGUGGAAAUGUCUGGUCGGUAAUACAACUAUUUCUUAUAGUGCAAAAAUGAUACACUAAUCGUUCACAUUUUGAUGGGUAAUCCAACAUAUGAAGCACUAGAUGUUUUGAUGAGAAAAUGACAAGACCAUUUAUCAAAUUUCUUGUGGAUAUAAAUACAUACACAUAGACGAGACCAACCUCCUCAAAUGAGAAUCAGAGUGAUUACAAGACCUUGCAAUGAGACAAUGAUACACCAUCAAAUGUCACAAUACAAUAGAAAUUCACGACAUAAAUAUAAUAAAAGACCUCUCAUUGAGUCAUAUAUAUAUUGAGAAUAAAAAUGUUAUAAUACAUACAAAGAGCUUAGCUAGAAUAAAAUGUCUUUGAACUUGCAAUGAUCAAACAAAGGAAACAGACAGGUUGUAACUCACACUAUCACAAGAAGAUCACGAAGAUGGAAAUGGGAACUGCUCAGAAUGGAAACUUUGAAUAGAAGAAAAAAGAAAAACGACCUUAUUCAUAGAAGAAGAGUGACUUAAAUCUUCAUCAGUAUCCAGAUAUUCUGCGAUCAUUGAGUAGAGAAAUUUUAACAGGAACAGCAGAGAAAAUAUUAUGAAUAUGCUAUAGACCAAUAUACUUGUUCAUAGCUAACGUUUGAUGGUUUAAGGAUUUGUUCUAGGAAUAAUGGGCUGAUUACUUUUUUUUUAUUUUAAUUUUUUUUAAUCCAAUGAAUGAUAUUCAGCUGUUAAUUAUGUGUUCAUAGGGAAGAACAUUUUCUAAGUACUUUCCUUGCCUUCUAACUUUCCGAAAAGCAAACCCAAUGAACAAACAGAGCACAAACUAAAAUAAAAGAACAGCAAUGAUGACAAUAAAUAAUUGGCAAGAAAAAAAAGGAAAAAGUAUGCAAGUUUUCAAGGAAUUAUAAAAUAUGAAGGCUUUUAAUGAAAUUUUAUCCUAAAAAGUAUGCAAGGAAUUAUAAAAUUUUAGAAAACAUGGGGAGCUCUAAAAAAAAAAGAAAAACUCAAAUUAAACUAGACUAAAAGACAUUCAAUUUUGCAAAAUCUGUCCAUAAAAGUCUGAAAGGAUCAUUAAAAUUGCAUUGCAAAUUUAACAGUAAACCGAGGGACCCAUUCUAAAUAAUUCAGAUGAAAUUGCGAAACAAGCCAUGGGAUUAAAUAAAUGAAAUAAAAAUUAAUUACCAGUUGAGACUUUCUUCUAAAAAUUCGCAACUCCAAGUCAUAAGAAGCCUAUGAAAUUAGUCGUACUACUGCGUAGAGUAUGACGACGACACCGCCAACAGCUGAAAAUAACAUUCUUAUUCAUAAAACGACAAGACCAUUUAUCAAAUUUCUUGUGGAUAUAAAUACAUACACAUAGACGAGACCAACCUCCUCAAAUGAGAAUCAGAGUGAUUACAAGACCUUUCAAUGAGACAAUAAUACACCAUCAAAUCUCAAAAUACAAUAGAAAUUCAUGACAUAUAUAUAAUAAAAGACCACUCAUUGAGUCAUAUAUAUUGAGAAUAAAUUUUUUUUAAUACAUACAAAGAGCUUAGCUAGAAUGAAAUGUCUUUGGACUUGCGAUGAUCAAACAAAGGAAACAGACAUGUUGCAACUCACACUAUCACAGAUGUAGCGACACAAUGCAGUGAAUCACAAGAAGAUCACGAAGAUGGAAACGGGAACCCCUCAGAAUGUAAACUUUGAAUAGAGGAAAAAAGGAAAACGACCUUAUUCACAGAGGACGAGUGACUUAAAUCUUCAUCAGUAUCCAAACAUUCUGCAAUCAUAGAGUAGAGAAAUUUUAACAGGAACAGCAGAGAAAAUAUUAUGAAUAUGCACUGAUUACUUUUUUUUUUUUUAAUUUUUUUAAUCCGCUGCUGUACCGUACAUCCGCCUUGGCCGUACAGCAGUCUCUUAAAACACUAAUCACUCAAGAGCAUUAAAACUCUUAGUCUCUCACUCUAGAAUUGAAGAAGAAAAGAAUGAAAUGCAGGGGUGAACCCCUCAUUUAUAGUUAAAAAUUUGGGCACUAUUUAUAUUUUUAUAUAUUUUUUUUAAAUUAAAAGUUUGAACUUGACAUUCAAACUUUGAAUAUCAAAAGGUAUUGGUCGCUCUUCUAGAAAAGCGACAUUGACUUUGAUAUUCUCCCACUUAGAAAUUUGAUUGAGAAUCAAUCAAUCUCCACACCAUCCUUUCUGCUUCGUCGCUAUCAUGUUGCUUAUGUCUCUACUAGGCCAUAAAAUGAUAUACUCCAAACAAAUUUAUCAGCAUUGAUAGGCUUGGGCAAAACAUUUGUUAAGUUCUCCUUGGUAUCCACUCUUAUAUCUUUCACUACUUCACGAAGAAGUGAUAUUGUACUCCUAUAUUCUUUGUCCUAAAAUAAAAGGUUGGAUUCCUUGCAUUUUAUUAGCCCAGCGCCGUUGAUCCGCUGUCUCUCCAUAGCAGACGUUUACUCGGCGUGAUUGAUUCUCCUGUAGUGAAAAUCUUCAUCUUGGGACAACCAAUCACACAUAACUCUUGCAAAGAUGGGAAUUUGAUGGUGUAAUUGGUAGAGCAGAAACUUGUGAGGCUAUCUAAAUCACGCAGUUCCAACGUCUUCAAUUUACUGGUGAAGUAGGUCCAUAGCUAAAAUAAAAUUGGAAGAAAAUGAAGAGCAAGCACACAGAGGACACUAAAAAUUACGUGGUUCGACUUUUAACAUACGUCUAUGGGUAAAGACAAAAGGAUAAAACUUUAGUGGUGAAAUGAGGAUUACUAGUAUUAUAAUAUUUUGUUUCACUUCCCAGAACCCCAAUCCACUCAAUCUCUUAAAACACUAAUCACUCAAGAGCAUUAAAACUCUUAGUCUCUCACUCUAGAAUUGAAGAAGAAAAGAAUGAAAUGCAGGGGUGAACCCCUCAUUUAUAGUUAAAAAUUUGGGCACUAUUUAUAUUUUUAUAUAUUUUUUUUAAAUUAAAAGUUUGAACUUGACAUUCAAACUUUGAAUAUCAAAAGGUAUUGGUCACUCUUCUAGAAAAGUGACAUUGACUUUGACAUUCUCCCACUUAGAAAUUUGUUUUAUUAAGAUUUUCUGCAAAAUCUGAAUGCACAAAGCCCUUGACAGUAAAUUCUAAUCCUUCGCAGCAUAAUGCAACAUCUGAUGUUCCUCUGAUAUUUCUCAGAAUCCUCUUAAUAGUCUUCCAAUGUUCUUUGCAAGGAUUCGCUAUGUAUCGACUAACCUCUCCCACUACUUGUACAAAUCAUAGCGAACCUUAAAUUUUCCACUGCUGAUGCAUACAGUACUCAAGACAUCUCUUCUUCUCUACUUCAUUACUAGAUGAAUACUUAAGAAUAACUUGAAAUUAAUGGGAGGCGGGGUAGAAAGCCAAAUCUUUUUGCUAUUACUAUCUCGGUGAAUUUGCAUCCCUAAAAUCUUGUUUGCUGGUUCUAAGUCUUUUAUUUCAAACUCCCUAGUUAACUGUGCUUUAGUUCUUGGACUCGAUCUUUGUUGGGGCCUGCUACUAAUAUGUCAUCAACAUACCACAGUAGAAUGAUGAAAUUAUUAUUAUCAAACUUGUUGUAAUAUGUACAACAGUCUGAACUGAUUCUAUUGUAUCCAAGGUUUAUGAUGAAUGGAUCAAAUCUCUUAUAUCAACAUCUCGGUGCAUGUUUGAGAUCGUAUAGAGAUUUGUUUAACUUGCAAACCAAGUGUCCCUUUUUAGUAAAACCUUCUAGUUAGAGCAUAGAAAUCUUUUCUUCAAGUUCUCCAUAAAGAAAUGAAAUUUUCACAUCUAACUGCUCCAAAUAUAGGUCAAAUGUAGCACACAUCGACAAGACCACUCUGACUGUCCUGAGUCAAAUCACUGGAGAAAAUAUCUCAUUGAAGUUAAUACAUUCUUUCUAAGGAUAUUCUUCCAUCACCAAUCUUUCAUGAUACCGCUCCACUAGGUUAUUACCAUCACGUUUGAUCUUAUGGACCCAUUUCCAACCAAUGGGUCUUUUUUUUUUCAUAUAGUAGUAGUACGAGUUCCUAUGUCAUAUUCUUGUGUAGAGCCUUAAUUUCUUCCUGCAUUGCUAUCAUUCACAAAGUAACAUCUGAGCUGUUUAAGGUUUCAUGAAAAGUUGAUGGCUUUCCAUUCUCUAUUAAAAGACAGUAUGCAAAAUUGAUAUCUAUGACAUAAUCCAAAUGCCACACUGACAAUUAUCUAUCACGAGUUGACCAACAAACUUUUGGGGCCUCAGACUCGAUUGGUUCUUGUUCUCAUACUUUGGUGCUGUUUCAAAAAAAUCUAAAUCUUCAUUUUCCAAAUUAUUUUCAACAUAUAUUAGCACAAUCUCUGAAUUUUUAUAGUGCUAUCAUCCAUAUCUCUCUUUUGCAUUUGAUCUUCUACAAAGAUAAUAUCUCUACUGAUAACGAUCUUAUGGGCAUUGAGGUCCCACAGAUAAUACCCUUUCACUCCAUCAAUAUAUCCUAAGAAGAUACAUCUCUUGGAUUUUGGAUCCAUCUUUAAUCUCACUUGGGUAUUGUAUAUCACGUAAAAGGACAUCAAAAUGCCUAAGAUGAGAGUAAUCAACUGGCUUUCCUGUCUAUUUUUUCCAUUGGAAUUUUCAACCCGGUUGCAUUGAAUGAUGACCCACUUACCACAUAAUAAGUAGUUUUUGCUACUUCCGCCUAGAAUGAGUUGGUAGACCAGCAUUUCUCAACAUAACUCUUUUUUUUUUUAUAAGAGUCAUGCCCUUUCACUCUACUACUCUAUUUUAUUGAGGAGUGUAUGCCACCGUGAACUAUCUCUAGAUACUUUCUUGCUUACAUAUGCAAGAAACAUGCUAUUUGUAUACUCUCCACCAUUGUCUGUCCUCAGGCACUUGAUCCCUUGCCCUGAUUUAAGUUCAAUCUACGCUUUGAAUUCUUUGAACAAUAGAAAUACAUUUGACCUUUUCUUGACUGGAUACACCAAAUAUCUCCUAGAAUAAUCAUCAAUAAAAGUCACCAAAUACUUUGCACCUCCCAUAGAUAUAUCAAUUGAUUCCCAAACAUUAGAAUGAAUCAAGUCUAAAAUACAUUUACUUUUGAAAGUGGAUCUGCUAAACUUUCAUCUAUGUUGCUUCCUUGUUUUGACAUGUGGCCAAGUUUAAGAUGCCACAUCAUCACUGAAUUUUCUCUAUUUGAUGUGACUGACACAAAAGCUUUCUGUAGUGUUUCCCUUUAAGCAUGAAUAAAUUAUCACCGAUCUUUUCCACCUUCAUUAAUGCAAGUGCGCCUUUGACUAUCUUUAUGAUCCCAUUUUCUACAUGAGUUUUGUGCACAAGGCUAUCUAUUUGUCCUAAAGACAAGAGAUAUUUUUCAAGUCUUUGACAUGUCUUACCUUCUCAAUUGUGCGAACCAUACCAUUAAACAUAUUUAUUUUGACAGUACCAAUAUCAGUAAUCUCAAAGGCAUAAUCAUCACCUAUGUAUACAAAUUCUCUUGAAAUAGGUUCAUAUUUGUGAAAUCAUUCUCUUGGAGAGAUCAUGUGCCAGGCAACUAUUAAGUCUAUAAGCCAGAUGUCAUAUAGUGGUUUUCUAUCUUCUGAAGCAGUUGUUGCCUUACUGUAAAGAAUUUUGCCAUCAUACGAGGUACUUACUACAUACCCUUGAGCAUUUGAUGACUCAGAAUCUUUACCAUCUCUUCUCUUCUAGUUGUUCCAAAACUCUUCCUUGACAUGCCCUUUCUUGCAACAGUUGUUGCAUUUGACAUUCUUUUUACUUCUAGAUUUUGAUCUACCGUGACUGUGGCUCUCACUAGGGCCACGUUCCAUGGAUCUUCCUUUCAUCACCAAUAGCGCUUCUACUUGUUGCGAACUCUUUUGUCUAUCUUUUUUAUUUUUUGCUACUCUCCUCAUUUAAUACGGAGGCUGCCAUAUUGUCAAAGACUAACUUGUUUGCUCGAUUGUUAUUAGUUAUAUUAAUGACGAAUUGAUCAUACGAAUCUGGUAAACCUUGAAGUAAAAGCUCUAUAUGUUUAUUUUCCUCUAUUUUAUGACCCAACGUUGUAAGUUAUGAAAAUAAAGUCUUUAAAGUGUUGAUAUGGUCGAUCACUGAUGUAGAUUCCUCCAUUCGAAGAGUAUAAAGCCUCAUCUUUAAGAAGAUUUUAUUUUGUAGUGAUUUGACCUCGUAUAGUCUUGUGAGAGUAAACCAUAUUUCCUUUACUCUCUUUUACUCUACCAUAUUGAAAAAUACCCUAUCUGAAAGUGGUAAGUGUAGAUAUGCAAUGGCAUUAUUGUCUAUCUCAUUCCACUUGCCAUCAUUAGUUAUCUUUGUGAGCCUCUCUUCAAUUGCUGCCAAGCAAUUACUUUUCCUCAAUACAACCUUCAUCUUCAUUUUUCAUGACGAAAAAUUAUUUUUGUUGAACUUCUCAAUUUUGUAUUUUUCCGCCAUCACUUUUCACCACGAGCUACCUUUGCUAAGAUCGAUUCCUACCAUUUCACAUGAGCAGUAACUGUAUAUAUGAAUAAAGUGUCGUAUACAGAAACAAUAUCAUAUACAUGAACAAUACAAUAUAUGUAAACAGUAUCUCGACCCCAAAAAAUACAACCCGGCUCUAAUACCACUAUUAGAAAAUUGAUUGGUGAAGUAGGGCCACGACUAAAAUGAAAUUGGAAGAAAAUGAAGAACAAGCACACAGAGGACACCAUAAAUUAUUUGAAGAAAAGAAUAGAAUGAAUGAAAUGAGGGGGUGAACCCCUCUAUUUAUAGCUAAAAAUUUGGCACUUUUUAUAUUUAUUAUUAUUAUUAUUUCAAAAUUUAAAGUUUGAACUUGAUAUUCAAACUUUGAAUAUCAAAAGAUACGGGUUGUUCUUCUAGAAGAACGGCACCAACCUUGACUCUUAGGCAGACCUUUAGAGCUUUAAAUAAAGAAAAAGCUUUUAAAAAUGCCAUGUGUACUUGAUUAUACAAUAAUCUCCACCACAUAGAGUGAUUUGAUAAAAGAAAAUUUUUAUUUUUAAUUUUACUUUUAUCAGGCAUGGUGCAUUUCCCCUUGGGCUCACAUGUAAAUACUUUUAUCAGGCACGGUGCAUUUCCCCUUGGGCUCAUAUGUAAGGAUGUCAAUAAGAUGGGAAGGAGAGGGGAUUGAUUUCCCCAUACUCAUCUUUAAUACUCUGUCUAUCUCUUUGUACUCUAGACAUUUCCUUCAAAAUCACUUGAAAGAAGGGGAUGGAUGUUUCUAAAUAAUACAAAGGGAUCUCCGAUGCUAUCCGAUCUCUGAUUAUUUAAUUUCUUUUUUUUCUUAAUUUAAUCAUCUUAAAGUAAAAAUAUAAAAUCAUAUUAACACAAAAAAUAUCAAAUUAACUAAAGUGAUUAAAAUCAUUUCCAUCAAAUUAAGUCAAUGUCAUCAAAUUAGAAGAUAAUCUUUGAACUAAUUAAGCAAAAGUAAAUCUUCAAAGUUGAACUCAUCCAUAAAUGUCAUAUAGUAUAAACCAUCAAUUAAAUUAUCUUUGUCAAUUUUAAAGUGUUUAUAUUUACUUUAUAUUGGCUGUUAUUUAUAUUAUUUUUAUAAAUGUAUUGUGAUAUUUUUUAUUUACAUCACACUAUUAUAAUUGAAAUUUUAAAUGUAUUUACUAUAAAUUUGAAAUAAAUUAAUUAAAAAUAGAAUGUAUUUACUAUAAAUUUGAAAAAAAAAUGAAUUAAAAAUAAAAACUAAAGAUAAAAAUAGAAAAAUGUGGAGCCAAAUAAAAUAUUAGGGCAAACACUAAGUUAUAUUUCAUGUAACUUACACCCACACAUAUUAAUUGAUCACAGAAAUUAUACACCCACACAUAUUAAUUUAUCAGAUUCUUGUCUCCACAUAGAAAAAUUAGAUCUAAAAUUAUCAAACUCCCGAAUGAGGAAGAUCCCUCGGGGCCAUCGUCCCUGUGGAAAUUUCUGCAUCCCUGCAGUCUACAACGCCUAAUAAUGAAUUGAACGGUUGAAAUCCCUCUAAAUUUUUGAUAAUUUCUAAUCGCCCCUCCAUAUUUGAUUGAACAUCAAAACUAUUGAGUCCAAAUUUAUAACUUUGAUUUAUCUUCCAUUCCAUAGUUUUCAAGUUCUCUCUCUCUCUCUCUUUUAAUCCUUUUUACUGCAACCACCAUCAAAGCCUAGUAGUUAAUAUGUAUGCUGCUUUGCUUUCAAAAUCGGACACUACUGGUAUUUAUGGUUUUUAUUCUUUAUUUGACACAAAAUUUGGCGAUAUCUCCGCGGAAAAACACUACUGGUGUAUUCAAUUUUAUCCGGUAAUGAUUAAAUUGAUUAUUACAUGAACCGUAACUUCGCCAAGCCCAAAAUACAUAUUAAGUUAUAAAGUGUUGGCACUCAUUAUUUUUUGCAAAAAGUUUCGCCCAAAAUACAUAUAUAUUUUUUAAUUUUUUAUUUGACACAAAAUACUGACAAUUUUUUCUGUGAAAAAAAACUACUGUUAAAGACGCAUUAAUAAAAAAUGUCAAAAUGCAUAGAAAGAGCAGACACACGGAUGAUGAAUUUACUCAUCUUUAUUAGUAUUUGAACUUGAGAUGGAAACCGGAAGUCCUCCGCACAUAAACUUUGAAGAAACUGGAAAACGACUUUAUUCCAGAUAAUGCACACCAGAGUGACCAAAAUUCUCUUCAGUAACUAUAGAGAAAAUAUUAUUUUGCAUGCAUUUCACGUAACUGGAUCAAACUACUCCCCUGUUGGUUUAUCAGACCACAUUUUUAUGGUGCAAUAUAAACCAUCUUUUCAAAACACUUUUACAAUGUGAGAAAUAUAGGCAUUAAGUUUCAUAAACUAAAAACUCCAAUUGUCCAAAAAAAAAAAAAGGUGAGAAACUCAGUAGAAUUUACAACUUCUCAGACUCACGAAAAGGUGAGAAACAAAUGAUUUUUAUAUAGUUGUUCAUAGCUAACUUUUGGGGGUUUAAUGAUUUGUACAUUUUGUUUUAUGUUAUUCAAGGAAAGAUAUUCUGCUGUACCGUACAUCUCAUAGGCAGGGGCAUAUAUGCAUGAUUUGAUAUAAUUCUUGCAAUUUCUAAGUACUUGCUCUUUCCAUACCUUCUAAGUUUUGAAAGAAAGGUUGAAAUAAACAGAGAAACAGGACAAACAGAAGAAGACUGAAUUAACAGAUCAACAAAGAUGGCAACUAACAAAUGGAAAAGUUCUCUUGUAAUCAAACUAUAGCAAACAGAUGACACCAUUACCAUAUAUCUUAAUGAGUAGAUUGAUUCUAAACAUAUAUGUUAGGAUACAUUUGGUUGUUUAAUAGUUCGAAAUAAAGAGGAUGAGAUGGUUUCCACAUAAAAGUGCUGGGCCUUUCAAUGACAUUUUCAAGGAAUUAUAAAAUUCAAAAUUAAAAAAAAAUAGCACAUUAUAAAGCCACACCGUCAAAUAAAUAAAUAAAUAAGUGAAGACCAAACUAAGUCACUAAGACCUUUAAUGAUAUAAAAUAAGCAUAUAAAUCUCAGAACAAAACAUUAAAACUCAUUCUAAAAGUAAAAAUAAACUAGUGGUGUAUUCCAAACAAUUUAGAUGAAGCGAUAAAACAAGCCAAGAAAUCAAAUAAAAUGAAAUGAAAUUGAAUUACCUGGGACUUUGUUUUUCAAAUUCACAACUCGCUUGUAAUUAAAGUAAAAUGCCAAUGCCAUUAGGACAUAUACAUCAUUGAAUAAGAUGAGGACCCCUCCAACAGCUGAAAGUAAAAUUUUCAUUCAUUAGUUUCAAUUAAAAGUAAAGCACGCAGAGAUUUGCAGGGAAGCAAGAGAUUUAAUAAAUUUAACAACAGCAAUUUAAUUUGACAGGACUUCCAUACAGUAAUGAAGUUAAAAACUAACGAUUAACGAAAUUUUGUAAUUGAAUGAAUAAGAUUCUCUGAUUUUGGAUAAUUGAAUGAAUAGGAUUCUCUAACUCUUGUGAAAAUAUCAAUUUUAAAUAGGGUAGAGUUUCAAGAAUUAAGCACAUAUGUAUCCCAUCUGCCAGUACGUGAUCAUAAACUUACUUUAUAACAAAUAUCUGAUCUAUUUGGUGCAUUUUAUUUAAAAGAGAAAUUUUAUAAAAUUUUUCCACUGGUGAUAGUGAGUUAUUCGUACCUUCUCAGCAUGUAAAUGCUGUAUGAUUGUGUUAAGAUCAUUAUUAGCCCAAGGCUGUUGAUCGUCUCUCUCUCCAUAGUAGAAGUUUACUCUGAGAGGCGCGUUUAAUUCUCCUUUAGUGAAAAUCUUCAUCUUGGGACAACCAAUUAUAGAUAAAUCUUCCAAAGAUGGGAAUUUGAAGGUGUAAUUGGCAGAGCAGAAACUUGUGAGACUAUCCAAAUCAUACAGAUACAAAAUCUUCAAUUUGGUGAAAACAAUCUCUUCUUCAAAAUUUGCUGCUCCAUCUUCGUCAUUUAUCACCACCUCUCUCAUUGCUCUGCAUCCAUAUACCAACAUUGAUAAGAGUCGCUGUAGAGUUUGGAGUGACAGAUUCGAUAAUGAUCAACUCCAAAUACUGGCCAAGAUCGCAAAUCAAACAACCAAGAUGCAAAAAGAAUCAAUCCAGAACAAAUCACAGAGAAACUUAAGAACCGAAAAGAAUUAAAGAAUUAGCAGCAAAGACAAAAGAAUUAACAGAUUUUGACAAUAAUGUACAUUUAGAAUUUCAAGGCAUUGAACAAAGGAGUCCAAUUUGGAGUCUUGUUUCCACAAUUGCUUCAGAUGAUUAAAUUUGUGCAGAUCUAAAUGUUUUAUCAUUGUAAACUUCCUCACAUGUUUCUUCAAGUAUCCUCCAUUCGAAAAUACCUCUUCGCAUGAACAACGACGCCGUAUGAGAGUUUCCAGAUUAUGAAAUCUCUCAAGUAAAUCAAGUGGAAAACAAGUUGAGUCAUCAUCCACUGUUUGUAGUAGUUUAAGACUGCCAAAAAGGUGUUGUGGGAAAUCGCUCUGCAAAGUCAUCCUCGAGUCUUUUCCACUUAAUGCCAGUUGGGUAAGCUCUGAUCAUCAUCAAUCACGUAAUAACUUAUUAAGUCAAUUCAUAUUCUCUCAAAUAACUUUUAAUAAUCCAAUCAUACACAGUGACUUUAAUAUAAAUCAUAAUAAUUUACAAAAAAGAAGAAAAAAUCGAAUUAGAGGUAAAAGUUAUUCUACGAUUUUAUUUUUUAUAUAUAUCUUGCAUGCUAUUCCCAAGAGCAAUCCCAAACGGCCCUUAAAGCAAUUUUACAAAAGCGGCCGUUACAUAUAUUGCCAACUUUGUUGGGAAUGGCAAUGGGGAGAGGAGGGGAAGAGACCGAACUCCCCGUACCCAUUCAUGAUAUUCUGCAUAUAUCCUCGUCCUCUCCUCAUUUCUCACAAAAUUGCUUUAGGAAAUCCCCCUCCCCUCCCCAAAUAAUAAUAGGGGAUCCUUGAAGGCCCUCGAUCCUCGAAUAACUGAUACGUUUUUUGUUUUAAAUUUUAAUUUAAUCAUAUUAAAAUAAAAAAUAAAAAUAAAAAUAAAGUUUGACGAUAUAUCUUAUAUUAACAUUAAUCUAUUACAAAAGUCACAUUACAAAGUAUAAAUCACCAUAAUAAUUAUCUUCGGCAAUCUUCAAAAUCAUAUAAUAAAAAAAAGAAAUUACUUUUAUAUCAACAAUGAGAUAAAUGAAAUGAAUAUAGAUACUUAAUCAAUAUUUCUAAUAAAAGUAUUUACCUCUGCGUCUCCUACUCUUCUUGUUCUUCCUCGAGGAAUGUGACAAAUUGAGAGAUAGCCUCAGAUUUCAAAUUUAAAACAACAAAAAUAAUAUAAGUAAUGUAAAUUCUAAGUGAAAAUAUUAAUAAUUAUAUAAUAUAAUUACAAUGUAAAAUAAACUCAUACUGCCAUUGUAAGCUUGUAGUCAACUUUGACAACAUAUUAAAGCCUCCAAUGUGCUUGAAUAAAGCGUGUUACGGUACUCUACCACUGGUGCUAAAAGCUAAUUCAGAAGCAACAUUUGUAAUUAGAAUUGCCAAAAUAUCUCUAGCAAUUCAUGCCAGUAUAGGAUAUCUAUAGACAUUUAUUUUACACCAACUCAAAAUAUUAAAAUCUUUCAUCCUAAGCAUAACUUUCUCAUCCAAAUAUUAAUGUAGUCAAUUAGGCCUAAAUUUUAAUAAUAUAAUUAUUUUAUUUUUUUUUAUUUAUACUAAUAUUUAAUAUUUUAUUAUUUAUUUACAAAUAAUUUUAAAAAAUAAAAUUAAAUCAAAAAAUUAGAAGAGAAUAGGGAUUCUGCCGAUCCCCGUUCUUUCUCUGAAUAAGAAAUUAGGUAAAAAAACUAUCUCCGUCUCCUUUUCAAAUAAAAAAUUAAGUAAAAAAUUAUGUACCCACCUGAAUUGGGAAAAUCUCGAGGGUCAUGUCCCCGCGGCAAUAUCUGCCAUUCCUAAACUUGUAACAGCCAGUUGCUUUUGUGACCGUUUAUGUGACGGCUAGACUGCUCUCACUUAUGUUACUAACCACGUGACGGUAGAGAGUGACGGUAGAGAGUGACGGUAGAGUUAUAAAUUUGUUUCUAAAUAGAAAACUAUUUGCUGGAGUCAAUAUUUUGAAGACCAAAGUCCCAAAUUCUCUCUCGUGCCUGGCCAGCAUCCUAAACCUUACUGGUAGCCGGAGAAUGGCGUAAAACGGCAGCGAUCUUCUUCUUCAUCUUAUUCUCUCUCUUCGUUUCAGGUAAGCUUGUGAUUAUGAGUUUCCUCUCUUUCUUAGCUUGUAAUUAUAGGUUUUGAUCUCUUUACUUCGUAUUGUAGCCAUUAAUGUCAAUUUUUGUCCCACCGGCAAUGAGAAAAAAUCGAAUUAGAGGUAAAAGUUAUUCUACGAUUUUAUUUUUUAUAUAUAUCUUGCAUGCUAUUCCCAAAAGCAAUCCCAAACGACCCUUAAAGCAAUUUUACAAAAGCGGCCCGUACAUGUAUUGCCAACUUUGUUAGGAAUGGCAAUGGGAAGGGGAGGGGAAGAGACCGACCUCCCCGUACCCAUUCUCGAUAUUCUGUAUAUAUCCCUGGCCUCUUCCCAUUCACAAAAUUGCUUUAGGGAAUCCCCCUCCCCUCCCUAAAUAAUAAUAGGGGAUCCUUAAAGGUCCUCGAUUCUCGAAUAACUGAUACGUUUUUAGUUUUAAAUUUUAAUUUAAUCAUAUUAAAAUAAAAAAUAAAAAUAAAAAUAAAGUUUGACGAUAUAUCUUACAUUAACAUUAAUCUAUUACAAAAGUCACAUUACAAAGUAUAAAUCACCAUAAUAAUUAUCUUCGGCAAUCUUCAAAAUCAUAUAAUAAAAAAAAAGAAAUUACUUUUAUAUCAACAAUGAGAUAAAUGAAAUGAAUAUAGAUACUUAAUCAAUAUUUCUAAUAAAAGUAUUUACCUCUUGUGUCUCCUACUCUUCUUGUUCUUCCUCGAGAAAUGUGACAAAUUGAGAGAUAGCCUCAGAUUUCAAAUUUAAAACAAUAAAAAUGAUAUAAGUAAUGUAAAUUCUAAUUAAAAUAAACUCAUACUGCCAUUGUAAGCUUGUAGUCAACUUUGACAACAUAUUAAAGCCUCCAAUGUGCUUGAAUAAAGCGUGUUACGGUACUCUACCACUGGUGCUAAAAGCUAAUUCAGAAGCAACAUUUGUAAUUAGAAUUGCCAAAAUAUCUCUAGCAAUUCNNNNNNNNNNNNNNNNNNNNNNNNNNNNNNNNNNNNNNNNNNNNNNNNNNNNNNNNNNNNNNNNNNNNNNNNNNNNNNNNNNNNNNNNNNNNNNNNNNNNNNNNNNNNNNNNNNNNNNNNNNNNNNNNNNNNNNNNNNNNNNNNNNNNNNNNNNNNNNNNNNNNNNNNNNNNNNNNNNNNNNNNNNNNNNNNNNNNNNNNNNNNNNNNNNNNUUGAAAACCAAAGUCCCAAAUUCUCUCUCGUGCGUGCCUGGCCAUCCUAAACCUUACUGGUAGCCGGAGAAUGGCGUAAAACGGCAGCGAUCUUCUUCUUCAUCUUAUUCUCUCUCUCAUCGUUUCAGGUAAGCUUGUGAUUAUGAGUUUCUUCUCUUUCUUAGCUUGUAAUUAUAGGUUUUGAUUUCUUUAAUUCGUAUUGUAGCCAUUAAUGUCAAUUUUUGUCCCACCGGCAAUGUUUUUUGUUCCUAGAAGUUGAAGCCCUUCUGUUCUUGUGCCAUUGGUGAGUUUGCUCACUCAAAUUAAUUUUGUUCUGCGGAGUUUACAAAGUUCAAAUGGAUUCAUUUGGAUUACUAUUGAAUUUAGCUUUCAUUUCAACAUUCAUUCUAAUGUUUUACAAUCAUGUAUUUAGAUUUACUUUUAUUUUAUGUUUAAAGCUUCCACAAUGAAUAGCGGAGCUUGGGUUUUAGUUUCAUUUUCUAAUUAACUUGUUUUAGUUUAUCUUAUAUGCUCGCCAAGUGCUUGUUAUAUUGUCUGAUAAGUUAUAUAACAUUGCUGAUUCUAUAUUAGUAAUGUCAUGUUCCAUUUUCGGAAAUUAUAACACAAAAGUUUUUACAAUGGCUUGCAUCUACAAACUGAAUUGACUUGUAGAGUAAGAGCUUGGAUUAGUGUUAUGUUCUUGAAUAAAUGAAAGUUCAUAUUGUGUAAGAGCAUGUAGAUGUAAAGCAUCACUACCAUUUCUACAAAAUGCUUUCAUUCUGUUCAGAUGCUCCUCUUGAACUUUGAAAGGUGCCUCAUUCAAGUCCUAGCUAUAACUACUAGCUCUGAUUGCUUAAGUUCCUGUGCUAGCUGAAACAGAUUUAUUUAAUUAAUUAAUUGUGUAUGUACUAAUUAUAUUGAAAGUAUAUGAAGAAAUUGUUUAACAUGAAUGACUUCUAAAUGACUUAAAAGCCUAAAGGAUAUGUGAAAUAAUGCUCAUUUCACUUGAACGAGCCUAUUAAUACUUGUAUGUCUAUGAUUGUCAAUCUUGCUUAAGUGUUUCAGUUAAGUGGUUUACCUAACAGGGAAAAAAAUUUAAUGGAAAACUUUAGAGUUCUAACAGAAAUAUAGUUGACUGCAGAUAUAGUUAUUUUACAGUACAUAAAUCAUAUUGUCCUAUUCUCAAUGUCCUGCGACCUAUUUUAUUUUAUAUGGUCAUUCAUUUUUGCGAUGGUUUUUUGUGCUUAUGAGUAUGGAAAUAGUGGGAUUUAGAGUGGCAAACAAAAAUAUACAUAUAAUCAAGUUUCUUAAUCAUGUAUAUUGGUUUUGGGUAUGAAUGUUUUCCUAUUCUAGUUCUAGGCAAAGUUUCUUCAUUUUGGUCUUCAGAUUUCCAGUAGGUUAAGUUAAGCAACUAUCAUAACUAGCUAGCUAGUUAUUGCCUGCCUUGUCGCCAUUACCGACGCCAUUACAUUGCAUGGCAUAAGGAAUAGUAACUAGGUGAUUAUUGGUGAUUCCUUGAGUUUAUUAUUGGCCAAACAAACAUAUUCGCCUUUACCCACAACUUAGUUUGAUUAGUUAUUAGAUAAUAAAGAGCCUUAAUCUAUGCAUUGCUUUAUUAUUUUUAUUUGGUUUUUCUUUCAACAAUAUUGUUGAUUUCUUAUAAACAGUACUAGUAGUGAAAAAAUGAUGACAACAACAAAAAUAGAAAAUUACAAGACUGCUGAUAAAAUUUCAUUUGCAUGCAUGUCUGACAAAAUUUCCGUGAUUUAAUGUGCUUUCAUGAACGCAAGUCCUAACGUUUCUGUGAUCACAAAAUGAAACUGAAGAUAAAACAGAACAACUACCAAACCUUUCAAGCUUGACGAAGCCAUGAGAAUUGAUAGCUCAGGCAGAAGUAUUUUAAUAUGAAUGACUUAAAACUUAUUGCUCAGUAAACAUAAUGUGCAUCAGUGCUAGAAAAUGUAUUUAUUGUUUGUAAUUUUUUAUGGUUUUGCUUAAGAAAUGAAAUGUGAAAAAAUGCUACAUUUUAUUAGGAAUAAAUUGAAGAGAUUUAUGAUUUUUAUGUGUUAUUCAAGUUUCAGAUUCAAUUUUAAACUUUUGAUACAUGCAUUGAAAGCUUAAACUCCUUUAAGAAAUUAUUAAUAGACACAUGUUUUAUUAGUGUCAUCUUUUGGAUGAUAGUGAGGAUCUUAUGUCUAUUAAUAAUUCUUGAAUUAUCUAGGCUUGGACAGUUUGGUAAUGCAUAGAUUUCUAUGGUAGCUAGUGCCUGAAAUUUUUUUCCCACGUAAAAAUGGGUUUUUCAGCAGCUGCUCCUCAUGUUCUCUGGGUGCAUACUAGACAAAUGGGUGUCAUGUAUUGUUUUGGCAUAACACAUAAACACUCAUAUAUCUAUGUCGUUGCUUGGAGAACUAAAGGGAGAUGCUGCCGAAAUUUCUAUAAACGUAGAAGAAAACUUUAAAGUACUUGAGAUUGAAGAAACUUAUGCAUUCUUGAGAGGGAUAUACGGGACCACUUACCUUUUGUAAAUAUGAAGGGAAUGUUGGAUAUAUUGAUGGGAGUGGAGGAGCUGAGUGGGAUGAAUGUAAUCGGUUAUGAUUUUGCUGAGUCGACUUGGUUUUGAGUCUUGUAAUUUUUUUUAUAAAUGGAGUACUAUCUCCAAUGUUGGUUUAUAAAUAUGUUUCAGCUGGCUGACCUAAUUUUUUGUUUCUAGGUAACAGGCUUUAUAUAUCUGUAAUUGAUAGCCAAGUGAAGUUCUCAGCAGUGGGUGAGGAUAUUUCUUUACAGAAGGUAUUGCAAACUGUUUUUUAGAUUAAUUAUUGUUGUAUAUAUACUUUAAUUUUCACAUCUUUUUCUCUGAUUCUUGUGGCUUUGCUUGCUUCCAUAUAUAUAAACGUUCUAAUGAGAUUAACCAUAAAAUUGUAUAAUAAUUUUUUUUAUUAUAUUGCGAAACUGCGCACACAUGAAAAUAUCUUGUUUAGUAGUAGAAAUGAAGAAUUAAAGUGAUUUAUUUAACUAAUUUUUCUAGUGCAUUAAAAGGACAUAGUCAUGGACCAGAGUUGGGUUGGUUUGCCAAAUAGAUAUCCAAUUCAUAUAAAAUUUAUAGAUUUUGCAUUUGAGAAUGUUGUUGGUGAUAAAAGAAUUUAUUGUCCUUCUAAGAAGUGUCGUAAUAUCGAUAUUUCCUUAUAAGGAAAGUGGCAAGAGACCAUAUCAUUAUAAAUGGCUAUUGGUUAAAGUAUUAAAACUGGAUAUUGGAGGGUGAGCCAUCUUCAUCUUUGAAAUCUAACUAAGAAACAGGUUAGUCAUGACUCGGGUAGUGAUGCUAGUAUGGUUGGAAUGAUGCAUAAUGCAUCACAUAAUCAAAUGUUCAAGUCACACGCAGCAUUGUUAUGGACUAUCUCCGACUUUCUAGCAUAUGCCAACUUGUUUGGGUGGAGUAUUAAAGGUAAAUAAGCAUUUCUUGUUUGCCAACAAAACACUAGAUCUAAUUGGUUGAUACAUAGUAGAAAAUUGUCACGUGGGUCACCGUCGAUUUUUACCAACAAAUCAUAGGUUCCGAAAAUAUAGUGCCAUCUGAUAAAACUAGAGAGUGGGGACAAGCACCUUCUCGGUUGUCUGGAGCUGAGGUGAAAAAGCAGUUCAGUAAUGUACUUACUGAGUAUAAGAUUGAAGACUUGAAAAGAGGAGAAUGAAUAAAAUAAAAGAAAUGAUAAGAUUACUUGGAAGAAGAAAAGCAUUUUUUAUGAACUAACGUAUUGGGAGUUCAAUUUGAUUCAUCAUAAUCUUGAUGUCAUGCACCGUUUUGAUUUUUGUUAUGAACUCAGAUCAAAAGUUUAAUGUGAUCAAAAUUUCUUAAAAAUAGUGAAAACGACUCCUCCUAAUAAUAUGGAAGAUGGCUAUAAAAGAUAAUUUCUUAAAAGUUUAAUGUGAUCAAAAUUGCUUGUGAACGCAAGGGUUUUAGUUACACUGUCAACGCUGUCAAUGUAGUGAUACAAUGAAGAUGAAGUAAAGCAUUAGUAGAAUAAUGAAGUUGACCAGUAACACAGUAAAGCAAAUUUUAUUCCAGAGCAUGAAAACUUUUAAACAGUAACACAGCUCUUAUUCCAGAGGCUGCACGCGAGUGACCUGAAUCUUCUUCAGAACUUUCAAAUUUUAUCAAGCAAAGCUUUCAAAAUCCUUGCCUUCCUAAGUUAGGAAAGAUAGAUGUGGAGCAAACUAUUUUUUUUAGAUAUUUUCACUUUGGGCUGUCAGCCCGAGGAAGUAGGGGGGUCUGAGUUAUUCAACUGAAAAUGUCGGCCAAGUUCUUGUGUUAGUUUUAGUAUAUUGUGUAAAAAUGAUACACUAACUUGAAUUUAUAUGCUUUUAUGACUAUUUGAUAAUCAAAUGGGUAAAUGACACGAAGAACUUUGAGUUUAAAGAGUGUAAUUAAUCUCAAAUAUCAACAUUAUAAAUUAUGAGUGUAAUUGAUUGGGUAAAUACUCGUUUAAUCCCUAAAUUUUGAUAUAAGUGUCCGUUUAAUCUCCAAAUUUUAAAAAGUGCGUAAAAACACUCUUAUUGUUCAAUAUGUUACAUUCUUAUCAUUGUUUGUUUCUUUUCUUUUACAAUAAUAAUAUUGCAACAAUAUUCUUGACAUUAAUUAAUUUAUUUAUAAAAAAAUUAAUUAGCAAAUUAACCAAUAAAUAUAAGUGUGAAAGAACUAAUAUUUUUUGUAGCACAUGCCAACUUGUCUGAGUGGAGUAUUAAAGGUAAAUAAGCAUUUCUUGUUUGCCAACAAAACACUAGAUCUAAUUGGUUGAUACAUAGUAGAAAAUUUUGUCACGUCGGUAACGUCGAUUUUUACCGACGAAUCAUAGGUUUCGAAAAUAUAGUGCCUUUUGAUAAAUCUAGAGAGUGGGGACAAGCACCUUCUCGGAUGUCUGGAGCUGAAGUGAAAAAGCAGUUGAAUAAUAUCCUUACUGAGUUUAAGAUUGAAGACUUGAAAAGUGGAGAAUGAAAAAAAUGAGAGAAAUGACAAGAUUACUUGGAAGAAGAAAAUCAUAUUUUAUGAACUACCGUGUUGGGAGUUCAAUUUGAUUCAUCAUAAAAUGUGAGACAUGAGGGAGAGACAAAAGCUCAGGCUUGUCUGCAACCAUGUGGGCCCUCAUAAGCAAUUCGUGUACACAACUUGGUUCACCAAGCCCAACAACUUGAAGCAGGCAAAAUCCGGGAACGAUCCUUCUCCUUCGCAACCCUAGCUGCCUUAACCUUGUAUUUCUGAUAUUUAGUUAAAGAGUAAGAAGAUUGCUCCUCUGUCAAUUACCUUCGAGAGAGACUUUCUUUUUCAUUCACCGAUGCUUGCUUGUGAAAGCAAGGGUUUUAGUUACGCUUUCAACGCUGUCAAUGUAGUGAAGUUAAGCAUUCGUAGAAUAGUGAAGUAAAGCAUUCGUAGAAUAAUGAAGAUGGAAGCCCCACAGCAUGAAAACUUUUAAACAGUAACACAGCUCUUAUUCCAGAGGCUGCACGCGAGUGACCUGAAUCUUCUUCAGAACUUUCAAAUUUUAUCAAGCGAAGCUUUCAAAAUUUCUCAACAAAUUGAUUAUUUGGUGUGGUUGCCACAUUUUGAGUAACCGCUAUUUGUUCUCAAGUACAAAAUCCUUGCCUUCCUAAGUUAGGAAAUAUAAAUGUGAAGCAAACCAAAUGAAAUAAAUGGGUAAACAGAACAAGCAGGGCAAAAAUUAAAAAUGAUGGCAAUUAACAAAUUAAUAGCAAUGUUACAUUUGACUCUUUAGCCCUUUGUUCCUUCUCUUAGCAUUCUUCAAAGGUUUUGAAAAUAGGACGUGAAGCAAACAAAAUAAAAUAAAUUUAGACAACACAUGCCCUGUAUUCAGCAUCAUAUAUAUCUCGCAUAUCUAAUAUAAUAAAUUUCACAUCUAAAAUACUAGAAUUUCAAACAGAAUAUCUAAUAAUAGUAAAAAAAUGACGACAACAACAAAAAUAGAAAAUUACAAGACUGCUGAUAAAAUUUCAUUUGCAUGCAUGUCUGACAAAAUUUCCGUGGUUUAAUGUGCUUUCAUGAACGCAAGUCCUAACGUUUCUGUGAUCACAAAAUGAAACUGAAGAUAAACCUUUCAAGCUUGACGAAGCCAUGAGAAUUGAUAGCUCAGGCACUGAUACCAAGUUAAAGUUUCUAAUCUGUUUGGUAAGUAAGAAAAUGUGAGAAAAUGAAAGAAAGAACAGAGAUCAUCUAAGAGCUGGAUUUGAUAAGUAAAUAUGAAUCAUCCAUUCAUUAGUUGAUUGCAAAUGUAUUUAUACGAGGUUCCUGAACAUUUCAGAUUCUAUAUGCUCGAGCUAAGCACCUGAGAGUUGAGCAGUGUGCACUAACAAACUGCUAACAAAAUAACUAACUUAUGCCAGCUCAGCUAACACGUCAGUAACUCUUAACUAUCUUGCUUAACAAACUGAAACAAUAACUAACCAUUUUAACUAUCUUAACAAUCCCAAUAAUUUUUCCAUUUGUGUAUUUUUUUGAAUCAUAAUCAAAUGGGUAAAUGUUGCAACUAUUUUUUUUAGAUAUUUUCACUUUGGGCUGUCAGCCCGAGGAAGUACGGGGGUCUGAGUUAUUCAACUGAAAAUGUCGGCCAAGUUCUUGUGUUAGUUUUAGUAUAUUGUGUAAAAAUGAUACACUAACUUGAAUUUAUAUGCUUUUAUGACUAUUUGAUAAUCAAAUGGGUAAAUGACACGAAGAACUUUGAGUUUAAAGAUCUGGCCCUGAUGCCUAGUAGCCCUCCAACCCAUGAAGCACUAGAUGUUUUAAUGAGAAAACGACAAGACCAUUUAUCAAAUUUCUUGUGGAUAUAAAUACAUACAUAGAGUGAUUCAAAUCUCAAAAUACAAUAGAAAUUCAUGACAUAUAUAUAAUAAAAGACCUCUCAUUGAGUCAUAUAUAUUGAGAAUAAAAUUUUUUUAAUACAUACAAAGAGCUUAUCUAGAAUGAAAUGUAAACUUUUUUAAUACAUACAAUGAUCAAACAAAGGAAACAGACAGGUUGCAACUCACACUAUCACAGAUGUAGCGACACGAUGCAGUGAAUCACAAGAAGAUCACGAAGAUGGAAACGGGAACCCCUCAGAAUGUAAACUUUGAAUAGAGGAAAAAAGAAAAACGACCUUAUUUCAAAUUGCGCACAGAAGAAGAGUGACUUAAAUCGUCAUCAGUAUCCAAACAUUCUGCAAUCAUAGAGUAGAGAAAUUUUAACAGGAACAGUGGAGAAAAUAUUAUGAAUAUGCUAGACCAAAUUAGUCCCUUUUAACAGGAACAGUGGAGAAAAUAUUAUGAAUAUGCUAGACCAAAUUAGUCCCUUUUUGGUUUGUGAAAACUUGAUUUUUUAUGAAAUAUUUUCAAACAAUAUUUCCACAAUAUACUUGUUCAUAGCUAACAUUUGAUGGUUUAAGCAUUUGUUAUAGGAACAAUGCACUGAUUACGUUUUUUUUUAAAAAUUUUUUUAGUCCGAUGAAUGAUAUUCAGCUGUUCUUUAAUUAUGUGUUCAUAGGGAAGAACAUUUUCUAAGUACUUUCCUUGCCUUCUAACUUUCCAAGGAAAUAUAGGUGUGAAGAAAAGCAAACCCAAUGAACAAACAGAACACAAACUAAAAUAAAAGAACAGCAAUGAUGAGAAUAAAUAAUUGGCAAAGAAAGAAUGGAAAAAGUAUGCAUGUUUUCAACGAAUUAUAAAAUACGAAGGCUUUUAAUGAAAUUUUAUCAUAAAAACGUAUGCAAGGAGUUAUAAAAUUUUAGAAGACGAGGGGAGCUCCCAAAAAAAAAAAAAAGAAGAAGAAAAAGACUCAAAUUAAACUAGACUAAAAAGACAUUCAAUUAUGCAAAAUCUGUCCAUAAAAGUCUGAAGGGAUCAUUAAAAUUGCAUUGCAAAUCUAUAUCUAUCUAUCUAUAUAUCUAUAUAUCUAUAUAAAGCUAGGACUUGAGGAGGUGAUGUGGCAUCACCAUUUUGCUUCUUUGUAUAUUCUCUAUUAUCUAAUAAAUAGAGAAUUUUUUUUAGAUUUAGCUUUUCAUCUUCUCAUAAUUAAUUUGAUUGUAUUUAACUCAUUUAAUAAAUAGUAACUUUAUUAAUAUAUAUCAUUCCUCAUCUUUUUAUAUUUUCUAUUAUCUAAAAUAUCUAAAAUAUUGGUGAAUAUUCUUUGUACUUUUUUUCUCUUUCUAUUUAAAUUCAACAAUAUGUAAUCAUUAAUAAUAAUUAAUUAUAAGUCCAAUUUUAAUGUCAACAAUGCCAUUAGAGCCCAAUUUUAAUGUCAUGAUCCCAUAUUUAAUUAUUCAAUAUUUUGUUUAGUGCCUUUUGGCUUCUUCAAACUCUAUAAACAUUAAAUAUUUAAGAUUUGUGGCAUCAUUAUUUCUUCCUCUUUCUAUUUAAAUCCAACAAUAUGUAACCAUUAAUAACAAUUAAUUAUAAGUCUUUUGAAAUAUUCAUUUAUUUUAUUAUGCUAGCAAUUAAACUUUAGUUGCUUAAAAUACAUCAAUUAAUUAACAUAGGAAGAGGGGUUCUUUCAUCUUCCCUCAAUAAUGCAGCUAGGGCCUAAGUUUAAUUUUCAUGUCUCUUCCUCUUUCUAUUGAAAUCCAACAAUAUAUAAUCAUGAAUAAUAAUUAAUAAUAAAUCUUUUGAAACAUUCAUUUAUUUUAUUAUGCUAGCAAUUAAACUUUAGUAGCUUAAAAUACAUCAAUUAAUUAACAUAUGAAGAGAGGCUCUUUCAUCUUCCUUCAACAAUGUCAUAAGGGCCUAAUUUUAAUGCCAUAAUCUCAUAUUUAAUUAUGCAACCUUUUAUUUAGUGUCUUUUGGCUUCUUCAAAUUUUAUUAUACUAGCAAUUAAACUUUAGCGGCUUAAAAUACAUUAAUUAAUUAACAUAGGAAGAGAGGUUCUUUCAUCUUCCCUCAACAAUGCCACUAAGGCAUAAUUCUUCUUAUUCUAAAUUUAAGUUGCUUGUCAUCAUCAGCAACACAAGUCGAUUAUGAUGCAACUACCAUUAUAAUUAAUGGAGAACGACGAGUUAUCUUCUCUGGUGCAAUUCAUUAUAUUUUCGCAGUAGUCCACAAGUACUGUAUGCAAAUAAUUAAUUUACAAUUUCUCAAAUCACUUGCACUUUCACAUUUUCUUCUUCUUUUAACCAAAAAAAAAAAAGCUACUUUGUUGCAAAAAUAUUAUCUUAAUUUUUUUUCCUAACAAGCCAAACAUGAUCCCACAUUCAAAACGGUGCGCUUUCAUGUUUAGGAAAAAUUAUGGGCAAUAUUUUUGGAUCCAACAGCAUUGUUAUUCUUAAAAUAUGUAAAAUUUGACAUGAUUUAUUUCUAUAUGCAUUAUAUUUGUGCAGAUGUGGCCAGAUCUUAUACAGAAGGCAAAGGAUGGAGGGCUCGAUGCAAUUGAAACUUAUAUUUUGUGGAAUGCUCAUGAGCCUCAACGUCGUCAGGUGCCAAUUAUUAUUAUUAUUAUUUUUUUUAUUAUUAUUAUUAUUAUUAUGUGCGAUCGUUAUUAUUAUUGAAAUAAACAUACAAAAUUAACUUGUUUAAUCUUCCUUUUGAGAAGAGAUCAGAAGGUUAUCUUAAGAAAUUUGAAUUUCAUCAAAUUUUUUAUUUUUAAUUUGAUAUUUUUAAAGCCGCGCGAAGCGCGGUUCUAUUUCCUAAUUUAACAGUAAACCGAGGGACCUAUUCUAAAUAAUUAAGAUGAAAUUGCGAAACAAGCCAUGGGAUUAAAUAAAUUAAAUAAAAAUUAAUUACCAGCUGAGACUUUCUUCUAAAAAUUCGCAACUCCAAGUCAUAAGAAGCCUAUGAAAUUAGUCGUACUGCGUAGAGUAUAUCGACGACCCCGCCAACAGCUGAAAAUAAAAUUCUUAUUCAUCAAUUUAAACUUUUACUUUAUAACAAACAUUUUAUCUAUAUUUUAUUUAAAAAGAAAAAGCAAAUUUUGUAAAAAUUUAUCAUGGGAGAUAGAGAGUAAUAUGUAUAUCCGUACCUUCUCAGCAUGUAAUUGUUGUAUGGUUGUGUUUAGAUCAUUAUUAGCCCAACGCCGUUGAUUCGAUGUCUCUCCAUACUGGACGUCUACUCUCGGAGGCGUGAUUGAUUCUCCUGUAGUGAAAAUCUUCAUCUUGGGACAACCAAUCACUUCCAGAUAUUCCAAAGAUGGGAAUCUGAAGGUGUAAUUGGCAGAGCAGAAACUUGUGAGACUUUCUAAAUCACACAGAAUCAACGCCUUCAAUUUGCUGAAAACAAUCUCUUCUUUUUCAACUCCUUCUUUGUCAUUUAUUACCACCUCUGUCAUUGCUCUGCAUCCUUGUAUACGCACCGUGACGAGUUGCACUAGAGUUUUUGCUGUGCAGGAUGUUACCAAGUGUAUCAAUCCCUUGCAACCGAAAGCUACAAGUUUUGUUAGGUUCCCAAAAGAUACCGAUGAUGAUGGCAAUAGAAUUAACAGACUUUGACAAUGAUAUACUCUUAGAAUUUCAAGAUACUGAAAAAUGGGGCCAAGUUUGGAGUCUUGUUUGCACAGCUGCUUCAGAUGAUAGUGCCGGUACAGCUCUAAUUCUUUUAUCAUUGCCAACUUCCCCACAUGUUUCUCUAAGCAUCCUUCCAUCGAAAAUAGCUCUUCGUGGGAUGAAAAAUCACACAGUGUGAGUAUUUCGAGAUUGUGAAAUCUCUCCAGUACGUUCCAGAUUGGAAAACAAGCUGAGUCAUCUGCAGCAAUCUCUAGUUCUCUAAGACUGCCAAAAAGGUGUUGUGGGAAAUCGGCCUGCAAAAUCAUCUCCACGUCUUUUCCACUUAGUGAUAGUUCCGUCAAG
rnacentral:lncRNA from 1 species